AUGAGGGUGGAAAGGGACCUCAGGAGGUCACGCCUCUCCCUGCGUUUCUCAACCCACGCGGGUUGGGACCUAAAAGCGGGGUGCGAGACUAUAUGCCCCAGUUGUGAACAGACUGGAGAGCCCAGAUCCUCCCUCAAAGGAGGAAACGGUGGGAAACUGUGGGUCACGAAUGCCAGAGGCCGGGGGGCUGCGGCGAGCUUCGGUCGGCGGUGCGAGGAGAGGGCAAGCGCCGAGCGGGGACUGGCGACCCCCCGCAGUUGGGGACCACCCGCAGGCGUCGAGGGUGGUGCGCCGCCACACUCAGGGGGUGCACGCACACCCCUGCACGUCGCCAACGUCCUUGCAGGUGGGCAGAUGUCCGGAGCCUGCGGCCAGCAGGUUACCAAGGGGGUCCUGGUACAACCACAGGUCCAGCCAGGUCUUAAAACGCCUCCAUUUUUUACUUAUUUUUUUUUAAGCUCCCCUCCUCUCCGCCCGCCCGGAUCCAUGUCGUUGCAACCCGCCUCAGGCGCUCUCCGCCACGCACCCGGCGAACCCGAGGCCUCACCCCGCGGCCACCAAAGGCCUCCCCCUGCCCUGCUCCGCCCGCCGGCCCGCCCGCGGCCUCCAUUACCGCGCCGCCAGGCCGGCCUGUGCCAGGGGCGGGACCUUCCGCUGAAGCAACCGUCGCGCGCGUCUUGGCGGCCGUUGACGCGCUUUCUUGAGCCUGCCCCGCGCCCGUACGUGAGCCCGCAAGCGUCCCUCCCCUGCCUGGCCCCGCAGAUCAGGAGGUUGAGGCAUCCCACAGAGCUGUGCCGGAGAGGCACAAAAUGCAAGGGCCACCAGAAGGGUUCAGAUGACGGACAAGUCAUAUCACCUUCCCAGCUGGAAAGUUGUCUUCUGUGAUGGCCUACACUGAUAGAGCACCUAGUUUUACGAUGAUCAAUAUUUCUAACAUACUGAGAUAAGUUGGAAUGGUUUGUCUAGUGCAAUGAAGAGAACGAAGCAACAUAAAGAUAUCAAAUAUAUUCCUUUUAAACAGCCUUUGCUUCUGUUACUAAGGAUAUUUUAGUCUAUCGAUACAAGAAGAUAAAUCAAAUGUAAUGGCUUUUAUAAGUUACCUAGAUGCUUUAAGCCUAUUACUUAGGUCCCAGUUCAGGAAAGUAUCACUUUUUAGGAUACAGUGAAGCAUGUGCUGAAGUGUAUUCCUAAAUUGGAAGUAGAUGAAUGAGUUUCACCCUUUGCUUCCCCUGAUGGAGGACAGUUUUGCUACAUUUUGGUUUGUAACAAGACAGGGCAUACCUAAAUAAUCACAUUGUUUUCCUAGAAACAAAACCAAACCAAACCUUUUAUGAAAACAUUAUGUUCACAUUUACUCUAGUGAAAGCCAUCCUCUUCUCGCAGCCCCUUCAAUUUGAGUGUUCCCAUUGGAGAGACUCUUAGACAUCUGGUUUGGGUGAAAUCCAUGCCCGAUGUAAAUGGUGGCUAUUCCAAUAGCCUAAUAUUUGUGUUAUGACCAUAACGUCAUUAAUGUGCAACCCCGCAAUAAAUCACCACAACUACACCUAUUAUUUGGGCA
rnacentral:lncRNA from 1 species